UACGUAGGGUGCGAGCGUUAAUCGGAAUUACUGGGCGUAAAGCGUGCGCAGGCGGUUCGUUAAGUCAGAUGUGAAAGCCCCGGGCUCAACCUGGGAACUGCAUUUGAAACUGGCGGGCUUGAGUGUGGCAGAGGGGGGUGGGAAUUCCGCGUGUAGCAGUGAAAUGCGUAGAGAUGCGGAGGAACACCGAUGGCGAAGGCAGCCCCCCUGGGCCAACACUGACGCUCAGGCACGAAAGCGUGGGGAGCAAACAGG
rnacentral:rRNA from 1 species